rnacentral:rRNA from 1 species
GAUGAACGCUGGCGGCGUGCUUAACACAUGCAAGUCGAACGGAAAGGCCCAAGCUUGCUUGGGUACUCGAGUGGCGAACGGGUGAGUAACACGUGGGUGAUCUGCCCUGCACUUCGGGAUAAGCCUUGGAAACUGGGUCUAAUACCGGAUAGGACCACGUCAUGGAUGUUGUGGUGGAAAGUUUUUUCGGUGUGGGAUGAGCUCGCGGCCUAUCAGCUUGUUGGUGGGGUAAUGGCCUACCAAGGCGUCGACGGGUAGCCGGCCUGAGAGGGUGUACGGCCACAUUGGGACUGAGAGACGGCCCAGACUCGUACGGGAGGCAGCAGUGGGGAAUAUUGCACAAUGGGCGCAAGCCUGAUGCAGCGACGCCGCGUGGGGGAUGACGGCCUUCGGGUUGUAAACUCCUAUCGCUAGGGACGAAGCGUUUUUGUGACGGUACCUGGAGAAGAAGCACCGGCUAACUACGUG